CACACACACACACACACACACACGUCGGACCCCAGGCUGCUAGCACCUGCCCCCACGCACUCUGGGCGCACAGCCUCCUGCUGCGGCGGUCACUCACCUUCCGCGCGCGAGCGGAUCUCCGACACUGUCCUCCGCAUGGUCGGCAUCUCGACAGCCCCUGCAGGUGCCACAAGGUGAAGAGGCCUCCUCCUGCAUUUGCUCUUCUUAGGAAGCACUGUGCUACCAAAGGCCCAAGGCAACAAGCCCAAUACAGCUCAGAGGCUAAGAGCAAUGGCUGCUCUUACAGGGGACCCUGGUUCAAUUCCCAGCAGCCUCAUGUUCUUGUGGGUAAAACUAUCUUUGAAUCCUCUCAAGAAAUCUGAAGAUGGCUUGUGGUCUGCAUUCUUCUUGGAUACCUACGACAGGUGAGCCUGAAAUAUUUUACAAAACCAGAAAGAGGAUUGAAGAUCACUCAGUCGCUUUCAAAGCUCUGCUACGUGUUAAAGCAUGGCAGCACGCUUCUGGAUAAUGUCAUCUCGAUAAAGUUUGCUUUAAGUGGAGAGUUGUGCACUGAAUGUUCCAAAUACCUAGAGAAGAAAGAGCCUGUACAUACAUGUGACAACUUUUAACAUAUGAAGUUUUCUUUGCCUUUAUGUUGCAGAUGGACUGCUUUUAAGAUGAAUUUAUCCAUUGUAAGACCAUGGACUAUUUUUUGUACUGUGGCCUGAUUUUAAAGGACCCUCACUGUUCUUGGAGUUUACACUUGUGUUAAAAUAACAGUGUAUGGAAAAUUGAUUUGGCUAUGCACUAUACAUCAAAGUAAUUCCUAGUACAGUAAGAUUGACAUUAUAAUUGGUAACAUUUAUGUUGCUAAGGCGAUUCUCAUUUUUAACACAUGAAAUGCAGUAUAACACCCCUCUUCCUUUAUCUCUAUUAUUUAUUUAUUUAUUUAUUUAUUUAUUUAUUUAUUUAUUUAUUUGGUGUUUGUGUGCUCAUAUGUGAGCACACCUACUAUGGGUCAUAUGUGGGAAUCAGAGGGCAAUUUGUAGGAGUGAGUUCACUCAGUGUAUCAGGUAGGUUUUGGGGAUUGAACUCAAGUCCUUUAGGUUGGCAGCAGGCACCUUUACCAUCUCAGUGCCCUCCUCUCCCGUGUUGUGAAUAUGGUCACUGCUACCUGAAUGGUGCUGUCAACUACAUAGCCCUGUACUCUUAACCCUGGUCAAGGCUACAUCACAGGUCAGAAAUAGAGCUGUGAAAGUAUGUGACAAUGCAAUACACACGUGCAGACUCACACAUGCAUGUGUGCUUGUGCACACACCCACACCCACAGUUUUUUUCUUACUUUGCAAAGUGAGGACUUAUCAACAAGAAAAUAAUGUUGUUAUGUGAUUAUCGUCAUUUAAGUAAGUAAUCCUUUGACAUUUUUAUCAUAGUAAUUUUCAAAUAUGUAAAAAUGGAGAGAUGGGUAACCCACAGUUGCACCCCUGCCAUUCUAGUCUUUGCCUGUUAGCUAAGAUUCUAAUCCACUGUCAUUCUUGUUUGAAUUCAUGAUUGUUUCUGUAUACUUCUAUAUGGACAUGCCUUGCACAGUUUCCUGAUAAUUUUGAACAGAAUACUAGACAUUGGAGAAUUUUAUCAGCAACUAAUUCAACUUGUGUAUCUAAAUGAUAAAAAAUUUCUUGAGCUUGCAAGAAAUUAUCCUUAUAAAUAUAAAAAACUUUAAAACCUGACAGAAAUUUAUUGAUAUUAACUACUAUCCAGCAUGUGCCUUAUUCUCCACGUUAGAUUGAUUCAUUUGAAUUAAUUUCCAAGCAAGUUUUCCCCAGGAAUUUGGUUUUAUAGAUGGGGCUUGUUUCUUCUAAUUUACAGAUUUUCUGUACCCUUUUUUUCUGUUUGCAAUGUAUUUGUUGAAGAAACCAUACCAUUUGCCUUGUUGAGUUUCCUGAAUUUCUUUUAUUUGUCUAAGUGCUUCUUUGUGGUAUAAUUGAACAUGAACUUUCUUGCACUGAAAAGUGCUAAAUAGAACUAAAGGCUUUGGGUUGCUUUGUUCAGAAUCCUUUAUUAGCUUUUGGAGUCCAAUGAUUUUGUCCUGUGCAUGUAUGUGCAGUUAUGAAAAUUAGCUUUAUUGGGAUAGAGUAAUGUACCAUUAAGCAAUACAUAAUUUAUAAGACAAAAAAUAUAAUAUUUUUUUUCACUGUAUAGGUCUUUUUUUUAGGAGGGCAUACUGCUUAGAGAAAACUGUUGUAGGUAGCAAUUCAUAUUUCCUUUCAGAAUUCUUUUUUAAUGAGGAAUUUUGAACUGUCUCUUGAGAUUGAACUCUUUAUUUCCCAGCAGAGAUUUCUGUACUAGUAAUUCCAUCAACUAAAGUUAUAUGUAGUCUGGC
ensembl:antisense Gm15477 predicted gene 15477